rnacentral:ncRNA from 1 species
CGAAAGGCUCUUGUAAGAGCCAAACAAAAUUUUCAAAAAGAAGUUGG